rnacentral:lncRNA from 1 species
GUUGCCCAGAUAGACAACCCAAGAGGGGGGGUGAAUUGGGUUUUAAAAUAAUUUUGCAAUUAAAACUUUUGUGGAUGACUAAUUAAUGCUUUUGUGAGAUGAUUAAUUAGUUGUUAUGUGCUGUGAAUGAAAUGAGAGAAAUAGAGAGAGACAAACAAUCACAAACACAAUGUUUUAUAGUGGUUCGGAGCUAACCCUUGCUCCUACGUCCACUCCCCAAGUCUCACUUGGGAAUUCACUAUAACCCCUUGGAUUACAGCCGGUUGUUUUCCAAGCUCACAACCAAACUUGUUGUUUUACGAGCUCACAACGAACUCGGUCGGUUUUUCCAGGCUCACCGACUAGAACCAACCCGAUUGUUUUCCCGGAAUCACAAUCGAACCCUUACACGUUGGUUUUACCCUCGGCUCACCAACCAACCUCAAUACUCUUGAUUCAAUCCCCCGAUUGAACCAAGCAAAGACAAGAUGGAAAUAAAAAGGAGUAACAGAAAAAUAGAGCUUCUCAAAAGCAGAUUAAUAACAAUAUAAACAAAAGAGAAGUUAGAAGUCCNNNNNNNNNNNNNNNNNNNNNNNNNNNNNNNNNNNNNNNNNNNNNNNNNNNNNCUUGAAUGUCUGAUCGACUUGAAUGCAGGAGGAGACUUCUUUAAAUGCUGGGAAGAGGUAGCUGGAUGGAGUUAAUGGCGCUCUUCCUUCUUUUCUGUUGAGAACCAGGUUGCAGAGAUUGAAUGCUUGAUUUCUUUGAGUGGAAUAGUAGUUCUCUACCUUGCUACAGUCCUCUGUGGCUAUUUAAACCAUCCCCCACGGAAACUAGCCGUUAGACACCUUUUUCUGCCCGUUCUGCACACUCUGCACAACCUGACAAUAUGUCCGUUGGGGUUGGAGUCGACUCGCGCGAUCUGGAGUCGACUCGACUGUAACGGGAGUCGACUCAUGCUUUUCUGGAGUCGGCUCGGCAACUGUUCCGGAUUUGAAUUAAAGUAUCCUCCGCGACUGGGAGUCGACUCGACUUAACCCGGAGUCGACUCGCCAACUUCUGGAGCUGACUUGGCAUUUUCGGAGUCGGCUCCUCCCAUGAAAUCCGUAGAUCAACUUUUCAACUUGGUCCUCUCGAGUCGACUCGACAGUCCUGGGAGUCGACUCGGCGCUCAGAGCCCGAACUCCCGAUCUUCUGUCUUUUGGCUUGUCCAGUCUUGGAGUCGACUCGAACUGUUCCGAAGUCGACUCGGCUCUCAGUUUCCGAAACACGGCCUUCUGCCAUUUUUGUGUAGCGCUGCCUUGGAGUCGACUCGAGCUGUCUGN